UUUGUACUCCCUCCAUCCCAAAAUUCUUGUCUUAAAUUUGUCUAAACACGGAUGUAUCUAGUUACAUUCUAGUGUUAGAUACAUCUGUAUCUAAACAAAUGUAAGCCAAGAAUUUUGGGACGGAGGGAAUACUAC
rfam:Triticum aestivum genome assembly, contig: Triticum_aestivum_CS42_TGACv1_scaffold_147400_2BS